CCCAGACUCCUACGGGAGGCAGCAGUAGGGAAUCUUUCACAAUGGGCGAAAGCCUGAUGGAGCAACGCCGCGUGCAGGAUGAAGGCCUUCGGGUUGUAAACUGCUUUUAUAAGCGAGAAAUAUGAUGGUAACUUAUGAAUAAGGAUCGGCUAACUACGUGCCAGCAGCCGCGGUCAUACGUAGGAUCCGAGCAUUAUCCGGAGUGACUGGGUGUAAAGGGAGCGCAGGCGGCGCGCCAAGUCUGAUGUGAAACCCCGGGGCUCAACCCCGGGCAUGCAUUGGAAACUGGCGGGCUGGAGUGCCGGAGAGGUAAGCGGAAUUCCUAGUGUAGCGGUGAAAUGCGUAGAUAUUAGGAGGAACACCAGUGGCGAAGGCGGCCUGCUGGACGAUGACUGACGUUGAGGCUCGAAAGCGUGGGGAGCAAACAGGAUUAGAUACCCUAGUAAG
rnacentral:rRNA from 1 species